AAUACACUGGGGAAUUGCUCUUGCAAGCUAUAUUUGACACAUGGAUUGCUUUCAUCUUGUUAUUUUGUUUCUGUACAAAUAAUAUUUAUCCCUCAGGACAAGAAAUCAUCCAUGUGGAAUAAAGAACCCCUUCUCAAGGUUUGAGCUUUGCUGGCUAAAGGUGGAGAUGGUGGUGGGGGUUUCAAAGGCUAUUUGAGAUAUACUCAACAUUUAUGGGCCUAUUUGUUUCCUGUAAAAAAUACACUCACAUUUGGUGAACAGAGCUCUGAAACAGAAGGAACAGAACCUGGAAUCCUUCUGGUGACACCUGGAGCUACAAGAACACCUGUGAUGUAGGUAAGUACAUCUACCAUAAAUAGUUGUCGCUCUGUUACUCACUUACUCUUUAAGGAUAUUUUAAGGGUGACUGCUGGUUGGAAUGUAUGUGAUUUCUUGGUAAGACCUUUCGAUAAGAGUUGUUGUAUGAAAGACAUUGUCAUACAUAGAUGAAGGCACCUGGCUGUCACCAUGGCUAAGCCCAUGGUUCAGCACUGUUUGUAGAUCACCAUCUUACUG
rnacentral:lncRNA from 1 species